UACGUAGGGGGCAAGCGUUUGUCCGGAAUUAUUGGGCGUAAAGCGCGUGUAGGCGGCUCGGUAAGUCUGCUGUGAAAGUCCAGGCUCAACCCUGGAACGCCGGUGGAUACUGUCGAGCUCGAGUCCGGAAGAGGCGAGUGGGAAUCCUGGUGUAGCGGUGAAAUGCGCAGAUAUCAGGAGGAACACCAAUGGCGAAGGCAG
rnacentral:rRNA from 1 species